GCUCCAGUGGUGUAGUCCGGUCAAGCAUAUCGCCCUUUCAAGGCGAUGAUCUCGGGUUCAAACGCCACAUGACGGCUGAAAGUCCCGACUGGAGCACCA
rnacentral:tRNA from 3 species